rnacentral:rRNA from 1 species
UCUGCUGUGAAAUCCCGAGGCUCAACCUCGGGUCUGCAGUGGGUACGGGCAGACUAGAGUGCGGUAGGGGAGAUUGGAAUUCCUGGUGUAGCGGUGGAAUGCGCAGAUAUCAGGAGGAACACCGAUGGCGAAGGCAGAUCUCUGGGCCGUAACUGACGCUGAGGAGCGAAAGGGUGGGGAGCAAACAGGCUUAGAUACCCUGGUAGUCCACCCCGUAAACGUUGGGAACUAGAUGUGGGGACCAUUCCACGGUCUCCGUGUCGCAGCUAACGCAUUAAGUUCCCCGCCUGGGGAGUACGGCCGCAAGGCUAAAACUCAAAGGAAUUGACGGGGGCCCGCACAAGCGGCGGAGCAUGCGGAUUAAUUCGAUGCAACGCGAAGAACCUUACCAAGGCUUGACAUAUACGAGAACGGGCCAGAAAUGGUCAACUCUUUGGACACUCGUAUACAGGUGGUGCAUGGUUGUCGUCAGCUCGUGUCGUGAGAUGUUGGGUUAAGUCCCGCAACGAGCGCAACCCUCGUUCUAUGUUGCCAGCACGUAAUGGUGGGAACUCAUGGGAUACUGCCGGGGUCAACUCGGAGGAAGGUGGGGACGACGUCAAAUCAUCAUGCCCCUUAUGUCUUGGGCUUCACGCAUGCUACAAUGGCCGAUACAAAGGGCUGCAAUACCGCAAGGUGGAGCGAAUCCCAAAAAGUCGGUCCCAGUUCGGAUUGAGGUCUGCAACUCGACCUCAUGAA